UACGUAGGGUGCGAGCGUUGUCCGGAAUUAUUGGGCGUAAAGGGCUCGUAGGCGGUUUGUCGCGUCGGGAGUGAAAUCCUACGGCUUAACUGUGGGCUUGCUUUCGAUACGGGCAGACUAGAGGUAUGCAGGGGAGAACGGAAUUCCUGGUGUAGCGGUGAAAUGCGCAGAUAUCAGGAGGAACACCGGUGGCGAAGGCGGUUCUCUGGGCAUGAUCUGACGCUGAGGAGCGAAAGUGUGGGGGAGCGAACAGG
rnacentral:rRNA from 1 species